UAGCUCAGUCAGUUGAGUGUGGCGCUAACAAUGCCAAGGUCGCGGGUUCGAUUCCUGU
rnacentral:tRNA from 1 species